rnacentral:lncRNA from 1 species
GCGGAGCGCCGCCGCCGCCGCCGCCGCCGGAGCGCGGGUGGAGGGGGGCGGGGAGAGCUGCCGGCCGCCCCGCUCCGCCGAGCCCAGCAGGAAGGAGGGCGCGAGCGGGCGAGCGCGGGCGGCGCGAGCGGAAAAAGCUCCCGCGCGGGCGAGCGCAAAGAAGGAAAGAAAGAAAACGAGCGCGAGAGGAGAAAAGCGAGCGACCGAGCGAGCGCGCGCGCGAAAACUCCCGGCAGGGAUCGAACUUGGGACCUUGUGCUUUCGAGGCAGGCAGCGGAACCACUGAGCUAAAUACCUGGCCCUCAAAUUUGUAUUAUUCUUGAAUGCUGCUGUUUGGUCUUUACUGAUGAAGAGUUAUUAUGCUGAGUCCUUGUGAGUUAAUCAUUGGCUUUUUGAUUUACAGUUCAUUGUUUUUUAUUACUAUUAUUUGUAGUACCAGGGAUUGAACCCAGGGCUUCACAUAUGCU